rnacentral:rRNA from 1 species
UACGGGGGGAGCAAGCGUUGUUCGGAUUUACUGGGCGUAAAGGGCGCGUAGGCGGCCAGCACAAGUCAGUUGUGAAAUCUCCGAGCUUAACUCGGAAAGGUCAACUGAUACUGUGCGGCUAGAGUGCGGAAGGGGCAACUGGAAUUCUUGGUGUAGCGGUGAAAUGCGUAGAUAUCAGGAAGAACACCGGUGGCGAAAGCGCUCUGCUAGGCCGCAACUGACACUGAGGGACGAAAGCUAGGGGAGCGAAUGGG